UAGGGAGCGAGCGUUGUCCGGAAUUACUGGGUGUAAAGGGAGCGUAGGCGGGAAUGCAAGUUGGAUGUGAAAACUCCGGGCUUAACCCGGAGACUGCAUUCAAAACUGUAUUUCUUGAGUGAUGUAGAGGCAGGCGGAAUUCCUAGUGUAGCGGUGAAAUGCGUAGAUAUUAGGAGGAACACCAGUGGCGAAGGCGGCCUGCUGGGCAUUUACUGACGCUGAGGCUCGAAAGUGUGGGGAGCAAA
rnacentral:rRNA from 1 species